UUGAAAAUAUUUACAAAAAAAGCAUCUAGUUUUUAUUAUUUACGAAAAGAGCAACCAAAUUUUGAAAAUAAUUCAAUUAAGUCCCUAGACUUAAUGAAAUUUUGAAAUUGAGUUGCAAUUUAAAACUUAAGUCAAAAUUGACCUCUUUAUUUGAAAAACUAAUUUUUUUUCUAUUUAGGGAAUAAUUUCUCGAAAAAUUAUUUUAAAAUCAAUUCCUAGGAAAAAUUGGAGGGGUUACAAGCGGUCCC
rnacentral:lncRNA from 1 species